UUAAUUCAUCAACAAACUUGGGUGAUGUAACUAAAAAUAAAACAUAGGGGUAAAAUGCAGUUUUUAUACGGCCGCAAAAAAUUUUGCGGUCGUAUAUUGGUAUGGCGUCGUCGUCGUCCGAAGACACAUUGGUUUUCGCACUCUAACUUUAGUUUAAGAGAAUGGAUCUCUAUGAAAUUUUACCAUAAGGUUCAAUACCACAAAAGGAAGGUGGGGAUUGAUUUUGGGGGUUAUGGUACCAACAGUUAAGGAAUUAGGGGCCAAAAAGGGGCCAAAAAUAAGCAUUUUUGUAACUUCCAGACAUAACUUGUGUGUUAGUGUAUGGAUCUCUCUGACAUUGUACCACAAGGUUCCAUAUCAUAAAGGGAAUGCUGGGAUUGAUUUUGGGGGUAAUUGCCUCCAAAUUUUAGGAAUUAGGGGCCAAAAAGGGGCAAAAAACAAGCAUUUUUCUAGUUUCAUGACAAUUACUUGUGUGUAAGUGUAUGGAUCUCUCUGACAUUGUACCACAAGGUUCCAUAUCACAAAGGGAAUGCUGGGAUUGAUUUUGGGGGUAAUUGCCUCCAAAUUUUAGGAAUUAGGGGCCAAAAAAGGACAAAAAACGAGCAUUUUUCUAGUUUCAUGACAAUAACUUGUGUGUAAGUGUAUGGAUCUUUAUGAAAUUGUACUACAAGGUUCCAUAUCACAAAGGGAAAGCUGGAAUUGAUUUCGGGGGUAAUUGCCCACAGCAUUUAGGAAUAAGGGUCAAAAAGGGGCCAAAAAUAAGCAUUUUUCUAGUUUCCAGACAAUAACUUGUGUUCAAGUGUAUGGAUCUCUCUGAAAUUGUACUGCAAGGUACCAUACCACUAAGGGAAUGCUGGGAUUGAUUUUAUGGGUAAUUUUGAGGAAUUAGGGGCCAUAAUUAGGGGCAAAAAAAACAAGCAUUUUUCUAGUUUCAGGACAAUAACUUGUGUGUUAGUGUAUGGAUCUCUCUGACAUUGUACCACAAGGUUCCAUAUCUUAAAGGAAAUGCUGGGAUUGAUUUUGGGGGUAAUUGCUUCCAAAUUUUAGGAAUUAGGGGCCAAAAAGGGGCAAAAAACAAGCAUUUUUCUAGUUUCAUGACAAUAACUUGUGUGUAAGUGUAUGGAUCUCUCUGACAUUGUACCACAAGGUUCCAUAUCACAAAGGGAAUGCUGGGAUUGAUUUUGGGGGUAAUUGCCUCCAAAUUUUAGGAAUUAGGGGCCAAAAAAGGACAAAAAACGAGCAUUUUUCUAGUUUCAUGACAAUAACUUGUGUGUAAGUGUAUGGAUCUUUAUGAAAUUGUACUACAAGGUUCCAUAUUACAAAGGGAAAGCUGGGUUUGAGUUUGGGGGUAAUUGCCCUAAAUAUUUAGGAAUUUUGGGCCAAAAAGGGGCAAAUAAACAAGCAUUUUUCUAGUUUCCAGACAAUAACUUGUGUUCAAGUGUAUUGAUAUCUCUGAAAUUGUACAUGUGAAUCUCCUGACGGGAGUACAAUAAUCCCGUUUUCAGGGGUCUCCUCCCGACCUCCCGUUGAAGACAAAAAAAUCCCGUGUAUGAAAUAUUUCAUGAAUGAAAAGUUUCAGCCCAACAUGUGAUUAUCUGGUGUAACUGACAUUACCUGAAGUUAUAUUUUCCCUGUAAAUCAAUUAACAUGCAUAAUUAUAUGGCUUCACUUGUCACCUUGGGUGUCAAACAUACUGGUAAUCAAUGAUUUUUACCUCAGGCUAACUGCCGUUGUGUAAUAAAACUUUGUGUAAUUAAAAUGAAUGUUGGGUUACUUCCCUUGAUUUAUCCUGUUUUAAGUUACUUUCCUUUAAAUAAUGUUAAUUUUUAAAAGAAUAUAAAUAAAAUAUAAAUUGAACAAAUAAUCAUAAAAGGAUGGUAAUUAAAUGAUUUUAAAUGUCUUAGGACAAAUAAAAAAAUAAUAAUUUGAAAAUUGUUUGAGGGUUCUAUACUUCCUUUCAAGGCUUAAAUUGAAAUUUAUAUAAUAACUAUGACCCUUCAUUACAGCUUAAUGUGUUACUUAUCAUGCAUUAAAAUUCUACUUGCAU